CCUGUCUGUAUGCCUAUGAUUGGACUGUGUAUUGUGAGCUAAACAAGGCCCUGCCUACACUCUGGUCGAAACUACAUACUACAGUCCUGUGGUUUUACAGAUUUUCCUUUCACAUAACACAGCCAAGUCUAUAGUGCAACUAUUUAUCAGUAAAAAUUGUGCUAUUCACUGCACUACAGCAGGGGCUGAUAAAAAGAUGCCUGGAUGCCAAGAACAGAUGCUGCUGUACAUGAAGAUUUAGAAGAAAGGAAAAAAAGAAAGGUGUUGACUUGAACCACAGACUCCAGGACAUUCAGAGAUAAACCGUCCCUACGUACUAAGUUCUUGAAGUGUGGACACCAUCAAGAAGCCCAACAUGCUAUUUGUGGUAUUUCCUAUACACAGAAUAGGAAUACUGUAAAUAUCUUGGAAUCUUUAACAACUCUGGAUGGUAAAUGUGCAUUUAUUUAUUUAUUUCUAUAUGGUGCUCAUUGGAGACAACUGUCGAAUA
rnacentral:lncRNA from 1 species